rnacentral:rRNA from 1 species
CCUACGGGGGGCAGCAGUGGGGAAUAUUGGGCAAUGGGCGCAAGCCUGACCCAGCAACGCCGCGUGAAGGAAGAAGGCUUUCGGGUUGUAAACUUCUUUUACGAGGGACGAAGAAAGUGGCGGUACCUCUUGAAUAAGCCACGGCUAACUACGUGCCAGCAGCCGCGGUAAUACGUAGGUGGCAAGCGUUAUCCGGAUUUAUUGGGUGUAAAGGGCGUGUAGGCGGGAAUGCCAGUCAGAUGUGAAAACU